UGUAAUGUAACUUAUAUUUAUAUAAUAUAAUUUUUUAUUACAUCUUGUCUAUGAUGCUCUAUACCGGUGGUUCGCGAACCCCUGGGGGUUCGUGGGAUAUGCAAAAGGGUAACUUUGUAUGUACUCGGAUUUUUAUUAGGGGUUCGCGAAGAAAAAAAGGUUGGGAAACACUGCUCUAUAGAGAAACAUUUGUCGCUCCAUCAAAUGCAGAUGACAAUGUUCGUGAUGUCCCACUGCAAGCAAAUGAUGAUGACGAUGAUGAUAAUAUUAAUGUUGAUCCAUUGCCAGCCAUCUAUGAUAAUUAAGUAAAACCAGCCCGGGAACAGGCGCUUCGCGACGAUGAUAUUUAUAAAAUAAGAGAUUGUGGUGGCGUGGUAACGUCAUUAAUGAUUAACCCCGAUUCGAACAGAUGAGUGGGGAUGAGUUGCGUUUUGAGUUCAGUUGAAUAAAUGUAGUCAUCGAAUACGCUACAAUGGAUGGUUACUGUAUUAAUAAUAACUUAAAGAAUCGAGCAACAACAACAACAACCAAUGAAUGAACCGCCAUCUUUAUAUAAUCCUUACGAUUCGAACCAGAUGAUUUAUUAUACUGAUUACUAUU